GUUAUGAGUGUAUUGUAUUGUGUUUCGAUGAAAAAAGAUUGGAUAUUUGUUUUGUGCAUUGAUGAAAAUAUACUAAUAAUUAGUUAAAAGAUACUAAAUAAUUGAAAGAAUGACGCAGUCGCCUGGUGCCUGGAGUCAUGGUGUGUGUUUAGUAUUUUUCAUAAUUUUUGCUUUCCCAAUAUCAUGUGAAAUGACAACCAUGAAGAAAUAGAGUGGCAGAUGCUGUGCCUGAUUGACUGCCCAGCUUAUAGCUGUUGGUGGUCUUUAUGGUCAGCUAUGAUGUUGCCUUACUCAUCUGAGUACCCUAAUUGA
rnacentral:lncRNA from 1 species